GUCGUUAGGGACGAAGGCAUGAAUCCUAAUACGAUUCAUGUUUGACGGUACCUAGAAAGGAAGCCCCGGCUAACUCUGUGCCAGCAGCCGCGGUAAUACAGAGGGGGCAAGCGUUAUUCGGAAUUAUUGGGCGUAAAGGGUGCGUAGGCGGUUUUCUAAGUCAGAUGUGUAAUCCCCGAGCUCAACUUGGGAACUGCAUCUGAAACUGGGAGACUAGAGUACUGGAGAGGAUGGUGGAAUUCCACGUGUAGCGGUAAAAUGCGUAGAGAUGUGGAGGAACACCAGUGGCGAAGGCGGCCAUCUGGACAGUAACUGACGCUGAAGCACGAAAGUGUGGGUAGCAAACAGGAUUAGAUACCCUGGUAGUCCACACCGUAAACGAUGAACACUUGGUGUAGUGGGAGUUGACCCCCACUGUGCCGUAGCUAACGCGAUAAGUGUUCCGCCUGGGGAGUACGGUCGCAAGGCUGAAACUCAAAUGAAUUGACGGA
rnacentral:rRNA from 1 species